rnacentral:rRNA from 1 species
ACGUAGGGUGCAGGCGUUAAUCGGAAUUACUGGGCGUAAAGCGUGCGCAGGCGGCUACUCAAGUCAGAUGUGAAAUCCCCGGGCUUAACCUGGGAACUGCGUUUGAAACUGGGUGGCUGGAGUACGGUAGAGGAAGGUGGAAUUCCCGGUGUAGCAGUGAAAUGCGUAGAGAUCGGGAGGAACACCAGUGGCGAAGGCGGCCUUCUGGACCAGUACUGACGCUCAUGCACGAAAGCGUGGGGAGCAAACAGGA